GACGAACGCUGGCGGCGUGCUUAACACAUGCAAGUCGAAUGGAAAGGUCCUGCUUUUGUGGGGUGCUCGAGUGGCGAACGGGUGAGUAACACGUGAGUAACCUGCCCUUGACUUUGGGAUAACUUCAGGAAACUGGGGCUAAUACCGGAUAGGAGCUCCUGCUGCAUGGUGGGGGUUGGAAAGUUUCGGCGGUUGGGGAUGGACUCGCGGCUUAUCAGUUUGUUGGUGGGGUAGUGGCUUACCAAGGCUUUGACGGGUAGCCGGCCUGAGAGGGUGACCGGCCACAUUGGGACUGAGAUACGGCCCAGACUCCUACGGGAGGCAGCAGUGGGGAAUAUUGCACAAUGGGCGGAAGCCUGAUGCAGCAACGCCGCGUGCGGGAUGACGGCCUUCGGGUUGUAAACCGCUUUCGCCUGUGACGAAGCGUGAGUGACGGUAAUGGGUAAAGAAGCACCGGCUAACUACGUG
rnacentral:rRNA from 1 species